UACGUAGGGUGCAAGCGUUGCCCGGAUUUAUUGGGCGUAAAGGGCGCGCAGGCGGCUACGCACGUCCGUUGUGAAAUCGCUCGGCUCAACUGGGCGGGGUCGGCGGAUACGGCGUAGCUGGAGCAAGCUAGGGGGCAAUGGAAUUCCCGGUGUAGUGGUGGAAUGCGUAGAUAUCGGGAGGAACACCAGUGGCGAAGGCGGUUGCCUGGAGCUUUGCUGACGCUGAGGCGCGAAAGCGUGGGGAGCGAACAGG
rnacentral:rRNA from 1 species